CUCAUUUGCCUCUGUCUAUUUCCUCUUAUUCCUUUCUAUUGAAGAGCGUAGGCUCGAAAUGUAAAAGGCUUUUCCAUUUUCCCGAGAGUCAGACUAAAACACUUGCUUGUUGUUCAUACACCUGUCUAUGUCUUUUGGGUUCGUAUAAUUUAU